CUGGAAUCCUGAAGAGAUUUAGGAGUGCUCGCAAGAGAACCGGAACACAGGUGCUGCAUGGCUGUCGUCAGCUCGUGUCGUGAGAUGUUGGGUUAAGUCCCGCAACGAGCGCAACCCUUGCCAUUAGUUGCUACAUUUAGUUGAGCACUCUAAUGGGACUGCCGGUGACGAACCGGAGGAAGGUGGGGAUGACGUCAAGUCCUCAUGGCCCUUAUGGGUAGGGCUUCACACGUCAUACAAUGGUCGGGACAGAGGGUUGCCAAGCCGCGAGGUGGAGCCAAUCUCAGAAACCCGAUCGUAGUCCGGAUCGCAGUCUGCAACUCGACUGCGUGAAGUCGGAAUCGCUAGUAAUCGCGGAUCAGCAUGUCGCGGUGAAUACGUUCCCGGGUCUUGUACACACCGCCCGUCACACCAUGGAGUGGGUUUCACCAGAAGUAGGUAGCCUAACCACAAGGAGGGCGCUUACCACGGUGAGAUUCAUGACUGGGGUGAAGUCGUAACAAGGUAAGCGUAGUGCU
rnacentral:rRNA from 1 species